UCUUCAUGUUGGGAUUCCUCACUCUGAGUGAAUCAGAUAGUUGAAAUGAUAUUUUUGCUGGCAUGUAAAGUUUGUGUUUCUCUUUUUUAGGACUGUUGCCCAGUUUGACAGCUUGAAAGCUUUCACUCGAAUGGAUCAAUCACACUUCUAUCUGAAACCCCUGGCUUCUCUGUUUGCUUGUCCUGCGCAAUCUCUGGUUCUUCACAAGGCCGAGAUCAGAGAAGAAGGAAACAGUGGUGCUACAAUUUUGUCUCUGAAUUCAAGUCAGCCUGGGGGAUUCCUUUGAGUAUGUGCAGCAAAGCCUUGAAGAGAGCCUGACUAUCGAUUCAAGAUGUCAUCAAGAAACUAACACACAACACCGCGCUACUCCAGCAGUAAGUAAGAAAAUAUUGUCUGCCUAGCCUGUCUGUCUGCCUAGCCUGGCUGCCUGCCUGUUGCAGUUGAAUCUCUUUCGUAACUUUUUGUCCCAGCCUUUGCAUCGCUGGUUCCUCAUAUGUUGCCUCUCUUUGUUUUAGCUUGAGAACCAUUCCUCAGUAGGCAGCUAAUUCAACACUGCUGUGGCUGUCUUAACUCUUCUGCUGCACAAUCUCUUUUUGAUUCAUCACAAUGUGAAGCUUAGCUUAUGCAGCUUGCUGAAUGCAUUCGUAAUCUUCUUGUCUAAUUAAAGGCUUGGAUAUAUUAGAGUCUUCAUGAAUCUUCAUGAAAGAAUACGCUUUUGUGUCCUGUUGUCAAACUGGUAAAUUUCUGUUGCCAGAAUGGUUUGCUUUUGCAAAGGGAAACAGCUGUUAUG